CGUGCGGAGCGAGGCACAGGGAUGGAGAGAGAGAGAGCGAGAGCGAGCGAGAGAGCGAGAGGGCCCUUCCUGUCCGCCUCCAUCGCUCGCCUCUGCGGCCCAAAGCCGUGCAGAGCAAAAGCUGCUGCGGCAGCAGCUGGCGCGAGCACCGGGCCCCGUUCUCACUGCACGCAACCGUGAAGCGAACAAAUAAGUGCUGCAGGUUACAAGAAGUCUCAUCCCUUGAGGGGAGGGGGGAGGCAAUUGCUGGCGGCCCACGGAUCGGCUCCAGCAGCAGCAGCAACAACAACAAAACGAGUCGUUUGCAUAGCUCCGUGGAGGCAGGCGCGUCGGAGGCAGACGCGGGGAACGGUGACCCGAGUUCGACUCCCGACCCCCGAAUGCUCCCCCCCACCGUUCCUCACUGCUCUUGGCGUCGUAUCCAUGAACGUGUCGUGGACGUUGCUGAUCGUGAUCGAGUGAGCUGCGAGAAAUCUGAACCAACGCUCCCGAACGAGGGCGAGAAAACAACGUCCAGUGUUGGGUCACCGGCAAACGACGCAGGCCAUGAGUGUGACGGUAGAGCCGAGAGAAAGCGGCGGAGAGCCAAUCCACUUGUUACAACAGUACACAAUACCGCGUAUAUAAGUACUGUAUAUAUAAACAUACGCUGCAUCUAAAGUACAGAUAACAUGUUAUAAUAUUGACUUGAGAUGACCUUAACGCGCUUGAUCAAUUUCACAAAAUGCCAAUAUUAUCACACGUCAAUUACUUUAAUUCGCGUGGCAUCUGUCGAAAGACGAAGAUGUCGCUUUAAAAAAAAAUACAUUUUGUAAUACAAACCCAGUCAUCUAUUACGAAUUCCCUCCACCGUCAUCAUGAUCAUUGGCCACCGUCGAUCCACUGCUGGAUGAAGGCCAGCUUAACCAAUCCGCUGCCUGCUUUCACAAUUUUAUAAUUGCUCCGUUUCCCGCUGUAACAUGUCACGGCGGCGUGAAUUUGUCACAUGAAACACAAUUACUGAAGCCGGAAUGAAUGUUUAUAAAGAUUUGACAAAAAAAAUAAUCAUCAAAACAAGUCGCAGCAGUAAGAGUCAUGAUCGAUCCACUGCUGGGUGAAAGCCUCACCAAGCCGUCAAUGUGAUGAUGAUGAUAAAGUAAAAUAAUAAUUUUAGCAUUGAUAUAGCCACUGCUGGAUGAAGGCAUCAACAUGCAGUCAAUGUGAUGAUGAUAAUAAAGUAAAAUAAUAAUUCCAGCCAUGAUUUAGCCACUGCCGGAUGAAGGCAUCAACAUGCAGUCAAUGUGAUGAUGAUGAUGAUGAUAAAGUAAAAUAAUAAUUCCAGCCAUGAUUUAGCCACUGCAGGAUGAAGGCAUCAACAUGCAGUCAAUGUGAUGAUGAUGAUAAAGUAAAAUAAUAAUUCCAGCCAUGAUUUAGCCACUGCCGGAUGAAGGCAUCAACAUGCAGUCAAUGUGAUGAUGAUGAUGAUGAUAAAGUAAAAUAAUAAUUCCAGCCAUGAUUUGUCCACUGCCGGAGGAAGGCAUAAACAUGCAGUCAAUAUGGUAAUAAUAAUCAUACUAACAUCAUAAUUACAGCCAUGAUCAAUACACCGCUGGACGAAA